rnacentral:lncRNA from 1 species
CCUUAGGAAAGCACUUCACACUAAACGGAAUUUACUAAACUUAAAUGAAUUGUCAACUGUUUUUAAAGGCAGCGUUCACACUCUUUCUUCCUCCCCAUCCUUUGUUCUUUCCCUAGCUCUGGUUUGCUCAGAGGCAGUCAUCUCCUUCCGGUUUCCUCCUCUACUUCUCAAGCUGGGCUGUUUCCCAAGGGGCCUGUGAGGAGGGGAGGGCAAUUCCAGAGCAGGAAGGGGGAUUGAGUUUGGAGACACUGAGGGCCCAGCCAAGGGAGCCUCCCUUCCCAUGAACCUUUCCUGGCUGGGUCAGCAGCGCUUCCCACAAGUGAAGCCAGAAUUAGACAGGCAGUCAGUGUAGAUAGGUAAAUCGAGUCAGGUCAGGUCAAGGAGGCCAAUUUUGAGUGAGUCUGGGAAGUUGGAGACUGUCCCCUGAGGGAUCUUAUCAAGAACCUGCCCCUGCACCACCCUGUUGCCAAGGUAACCAGUCCCAGGAAUUUCCCCUCCCAACAGGGAGCUGUAUGGUUGUUACAGUGUCCCGGUCUACUCCACCCUGCCCUUCCCCCUUCAGCCCACCUAUUUCCCACCUUUUGGCCACACCACUGAGCAUUCCUGGGCCUAGUCAUGUACACAGGAAGGAGAAAGAUAAGGGGGGAAAGGCAGGAGAACAAAGGAAGACUAGAACACAUAAAAAGGGCAGAACAUCUUGCCUUUUGGGAUACCAUGAUACCAGCUAUGGCCCCCUUCUCCCUCGAAGGAGAAGUCUAUGUUACCCCUUUUUAAAUAAACCUGC